AUUGAACGCUGGCGGCAUGUUUUACACAUGCAAGUCGAACGGCAGCACGGACUUCGGUCUGGUGGCGAGUGGCGAACGGGUGAGUAAUACAUCGGAACGUACCCAGUAAUGGGGGAUAACUAUCCGAAAGGAUAGCUAAUACCGCAUACGCCCUACGGGGGAAAGAGGGGGAUCGCAAGCCCUCUUGUUAUUGGAGCGGGCGAGGGCUGAUUAGCUAGUUGGUAGGGUAAAGCCCUACCAAGGCAACGAUCAGUAGCGGGUCUUAGAGGACGAUCCGCCACACUGGAACUGAGACACGGUCCAGACUCCUACGGGAGGCAGCAGUGGGGAAUCUUGGACAAUGGGCGCAAGCCUGAUCCAGCAAUGCCGCGUGCGUGAAGAAGGCCUUCGGGUUGUAAAGCGCUUUUGUCAGGGAGCAAAUCCUUGUGGCUAAUACCCAGCGGGGAUGAGAGUACCUGAAGAAUAAGGACCGGCUAACUACGUGCCAGCCGCCGCGGUAAUAC
rnacentral:rRNA from 1 species